CCCCAGAGAGAAAUGGGCAGCUCGGUGGCACUCAGCCCAGCUGGUCUCCUGCCUGUGGCGGCAAGCUGGCAAGCAGAAGGAGGCAAUUGCCCGGUGCUGGGAUGCUGUGGAGCAAGGAGAAGGCAAGUACAAAGUUUACUUGCUGGUGGGAUCACUACUUGAAGGCGACUGAUACCCAGCUCUGAAGCUGGUUGAUGUCUGGCAAUGGACCUGGCGAGGCUGCAGCUGGUGGAUGGUUGUCAGAAGAGUUUGCAUUCAGGCUAGUGGAAGCCAUGAGGCUACGCCGGCUGAGAUGGAUGCAAACUGGUUUGGAAGCCUUGUUUGUGAACAGGCAGCCAAACAGGAGGAGUCUGAGGGGACGCUGUCGGAUGGGGGCCAUCUUACUCACCUGUUUGCCUUUGCCUUAUAGGGAUGUCUGGAGCCAGUGAGGUUUUUCCCAAGUCCAGCCUUCAAAGUCAUGGAGAGAACUGCAGGACGUCCCUAUUUACAUCGAAGAAAUGAACGUGAAAUACUGUCAGUGAGCAAUGGACAAGGCCGUGGCCAUACCUGAGAGAAGGAGCUUUGAAGGGAGACUGCAGGUGGACAACUGCUGCAUUGCAAGUGAUGGGGCAGUGGGGACCAAGAAGAAAAUCAGGGAGGAAACAUUAGGCCACAUUAGGAGCACCGUCCAUUGAAAGUGCUAUGAAGACACUUUGAACAGGAAUGGCUUCCCCUCAGGGAUUCUGGGAACUGUAGGUGGUUAAGGGGAUGGAGAGUUGCUAGGGUAGUUCAGGAUUAGGGCUAGGGUUAGAGUUAGGGGUAGGGUAGGGGAAGGGGAAGGGUUCCCUUGUCAGGGAACGCUGGGAAGUGUAGUUCUGGUUAAGGGUUAGCGUUAAGGUUAGAGUUAGGGUUAGCGUCAGGGUAGGGGUAGGGGUAGGAUUCGGGUUCCCUUCUUGCCAGGGAGCUCUUGGAAUUGCAGCUCUGGUUAAGGGUUCACCUUAGGGUUAGUGUCAGGAGUAGGGGUAGGAGAAGGAUUUGGUUUCCCUUCUUGUCAGAGAACUCUGAGAAUUGUAGCUCUAGUUAGGGGUUAACCUUAGGGUUAGAGUUAGGGUUAGCGUCAGGGGUAGAGGUAGGGUUGGGGUAGGGUUCCCUUCUUGCCAGGGAACUCUGGGAAUUGUAGCUCUAGUUAGGGGUUAAGGGUUAGCAUUAGAGUUAGAGUUAGGGUUAGCGUCAGGGGUAGGGGUAGGGGUAGGGUUCCCUUCUUGCCAGGGAACUCUGGGAAUUGUAGCUCUAGUUAAGGGUUAAGCGUUAGCAUUAGGGUUAGAGUUAGGGUUAGCCUCGGGUAGGGGUAGGGUUCCCUUCUUGGCAGGGAACAGGGGGUCCCCUAACAACUGUCCGCACCCUUUUCCAACUAUAGCUCCCAGAUUCUUUGGGGGAAGAAGCCAUGAGUGUUUAAAGUGGCUUCAUAGCGUGUUAAAUGGUGUGGAUGUGGCCCUGGCCUCCCUCACCCCACUGCCUCUUAUUACUGAGGAAUCGAAAGGACUUCCCCAUUCAAAUCGCUUGGAAACAGGAAACAGGAAG
rnacentral:lncRNA from 1 species